GUCCACGCCCUAAACGAUGUCAACUAGUUGUCGGGAAGCAAUUCCUUGGUAACGCAGCUAACGCGUGAAGUUGACCGCCUGGGGAGUACGGUCGCAAGAUUAAACUCAAAGGAAUUGACGGGACCCGCACAAGCGGUGGAUGAUGUGGAUUAAUUCGAUGCAACGCGAAAACCUUACCUACCCUUGACAUGUCCAGAACCCCGAUGAAAGUUGGGGGUGCCCGAAAGGGAAUUGGAACACAGGUGCUGCAUGGCUGUCGU
rnacentral:rRNA from 1 species